AGCUUCCAGGCAGGUGAUGAGGAUAGCUAGUCCCGCGGUCCUCCGCUAGCUGGCGGCGGGGGUCGGCCAGGUGCCCGGACCCUCCGAGGGCCCCACCGCCGCGCGUCCCGGGGAUCGGGACCGCUACCCGCGCCUCACCUGCGCGCCCGGGCCCCAGGGCCCUGCUCCCGGGCGGUGGCGCGGGCCUGGCUCCCGUCGCAGCCACGACCGCCCCCACCGCCCCCGCCGUCCCCGCCCGGGAAGUGGCGAGCCGGUCCGGCUUGCCCCGCCCGCCUCCCGGCCCGCACUCACGCUCCACAUCGUGCAGCUUGGCUCGCUCCUCCUCCAGCUUGCCCUUGAGGCUCUCGGCCUCGCUCUUCAGCGACGCCAGCGUCUCGUUCUCGUGCAGCCCCUCGGUUGCCAUCUUCGCGCGGGGACGCAGCGGAGAGGGAAGCGGAGAGCGGGAAUGCGCUGAGCCGCGGCGGGCGCCGCUCCAGCAGCCGUCCCCGGCCCCGAGCACCGCCCCGCGGCCCCGCCCUCCGCGAUGACGCCAGCAGCUGCGGGCCCGGCUGCUGCGCCUGAGCCCCAAGACCCCGCACCUGGGCGCGCGCUCUGGCGCAGUGCCUGGUGCGAUGUCCGCGUCAGCCUCUCUCCUCCGGGAGAGGCAGGGAGUGUGACGCCCAUUUUACCAGCGGGCAAACUGUGGCUUAGGGAUGCUGGGUGAUUUGCCCGAGGACGCACACAGAGGGAAGGGCCAAGCCGGGAUUCCAACUCGGGACUCCCCGCUUCUGGGGAGACCGGUGAGGCCCCCGCGACAUGGCCCUCCCAUCCCCAAGCCUCUCGUGCAGAUCUCCGCUCUGUGGGACUUGAUUGCGGGCUGCGGGCCCGUGGCUCCUGCAGGCAGAGAGAGGACGGGAGAGGAGACGGCUACGAGGCUUGGCCGCAGGUAGCUACGGUGCUCCCCCAACAAGGAACCGGAAACCCUCUUCGUUUGUUGAUCUAAAUAUACAAAAAUAAAACUAGUUGCUGGGUUCUCAGACGGAGUCUCUGCGGCAUUAGGAGGCCCACCCUUAUUUUCUCUUUUCUUCACGCAGGAAUCAGGUCCCUGGCCUGGGGGCGGCAAAAGGAGAUGGCGGUGGGUCAAGUGGGCGCGCAGGCUCAGACCUGGGGCUUCUGAGCCCACGCCCAGGCAUCUCGGACCUCUCACUUCUGAGGCCACCUCCUGCCCUUUAGAAUGAAGGGCUGGCACAGUUCUGCCAGGAUGCACGUUUAGCGACUUCUGUCAGACUGAAGCAUCCCCUCUCCGCAAGCGCCUGAAGUGUGAGAGGCACUGUUCUAAGUGCUUUAAUUUGCACUUGUUUAAUCCUCACAGGAGUCAACUUGAAUGGGCACACUUAUUCCCACUUUACAGAAGAGGAAACUGGGGCACAGAAAGACUGAGUAAUUGCUCAGGGGGCAUGCUCCAAGAAAGAGGGAGAGACAGGAUUUGGACCCAGACAGGCUGGCUCCCUAGUGCUCUGGACUUUGGUGUGGAUGAUCCAACUCAAGCCUUCUCCUUUUUCCCUCCUAUGUGAUCUUGCAUGCGUUUGUGCAGAGAAUGAGAAGGCAGAUCAAAGUUACAGAUGCUGCGAGAACAUCGCCAAGCAGAAUCUUGGGUGCUGUCCCCACCUCUCUGUACCUGCUCCCUCCCAGAGAAGCCAGCCUCCACUUGCUGUCCCGGGCCUUCUCUAUCUGAGAAAAGUUGAAGGUACUCGAUGUUAAUCUGUACAUAGUUGUUUUGCAGGUUAGAGUCUGGGAUCCUCCGUUUCCUUAUCUGGAAAAGCUUCUUCAUAGGAUCUGCUUCAUAGGAUUGUUAUGAGAAUUAAGUAAGAUGGUGUGGGCCGGGUGCGGUGGUUCACACCUGUAAUCCCAACACUUCGGGAGGCCAAGGUGGGUGUAUCACCUGAGGUCAGGAGUUCGAAACCAGCCUGGCCAACAUGAUGAAACCCUCUCUCUACUAAAAAUACAAAAAUUAGUCGGGCGUGGUGGUACGU
rnacentral:lncRNA from 10 species